AGUGAACGCUGGCGGUAGGCCUAACACAUGCAAGUCGAACGGCAGCACAGUAAGAGCUUGCUCUUACGGGUGGCGAGUGGCGGACGGGUGAGGAAUACAUCGGAAUCUACUUUUUCGUGGGGGAUAACGUAGGGAAACUUACGCUAAUACCGCAUACGACCUACGGGUGAAAGGAGGGGAUCUUCGGACCUUGCGGGAUUGAAUGAGCCGAUGUCGGAUUAGCUAGUUGGCGGGGUAAAGGCCCACCAAGGCGACGAUCCGUAGCUGGUCUGUGAGGAUGAUCGGCCACACUGGAACUUAGACACGGUCCAGACUCCUACGGGAGGCAGCAGUGGGGAAUAUUGGACAAUGGGCGCAAGCCUGAUCCAGCCAUACCGCGUGGGUUAAGAAGGCCUUCGGGUUGUAAAGCCCUUUUGUUGGGAAAGAAAAGCAUCAGGUUAAUACCCCGCUGUUCUGACGGUACCCAAAGAAUAAGCACCGGCUAACUUCGUG
rnacentral:rRNA from 1 species